rnacentral:rRNA from 1 species
UNUGACUUGAGUGCAGAAGGGGAGAGUGGAAUUCCAUGUGUAGCGGUGAAAUGCGUAGAUAUAUGGAGGANCACCAGUGGCGAAAGCGGCUCUCUGNUCUGUCACUGACGCUGAGGCUNGAAAGCGUGGGUAGCGAACAGGAUUAGAUACCCUGGUAGUNCACGCCGUAAACGAUGAGUGCUAGGUGUUAGGCCCUUUCCGGGGCUUAGUGCCGGAGCUAACGCAAUAAGCACUCCGCCUGGGGAGUACGACCGCAAGGUUGAAACUCAAAGGAAUUGACGGGGGCCCGCACAAGCGGUGGAGCAUGUGGUUUAAUUCGAAGCAACGCGAAGAACCUUACCAGGUCUUGACAUCCCGAUGCUAUUCUUAGAGAUAGGAAGUUACUUCGGUACAUCGGAGACAGGUGGUGCAUGGUUGUCGUCAGCUCGUGUCGUGAGAUGUUGGGUUAAGUCCCGCAACGAGCGCAACCCUUAUUGUUAGUUGCCAUCAUUAAGUUGGGCACUCUAGCGAGACUGCCGGUAAUAAACCGGAGGAAGGUGGGGAUGACGUCAAAUCAUCAUGCCCCUUAUGACCUGGGCUACACACGUGCUACAAUGGUCGGUACAACGAGUUGCGAGCCGGUGACGGCAAGCUAAUCUCUGAAAGCCGAUCUCAGUUCGGAUUGGAGGCUGCAACUCGCCUCCAUGAAGUCGGAAUCGCUAGUAAUCGCGGAUCAGCACGCCGCGGUGAAUACGCUCCCGGGCCUUGUACACACCGCCCGUCACACCACGAGAGUUUGUAACACCCGAAGUCGGUGAGGUAACCUUUUAGGGGCCAGCCGCCU